GUCCAGGUGAUGCUGAGAAUUGAUCUAAAACUGAUCCUGACCAGCAUGACCUCUGUGGGCCAUCUUAAUGAGGCAUAAUUGGGACAGUCACUGCAGGGAUGUUCUUUCCUGGUAGAGCAUACAUUUUUAAUUUUCAGGGGUGAUUGACCUGAUUUCUCCCAUUCUCGUGGAGCAGUGAGGUGCAAAUGCAGAGGGUUUUCAGCCUACCUUCUGGGGCUUAUUCAUCCUGAAAUGUAUGAGUGCCCAGUGAUGAAUACAGAAACAGUACUGGGUGUUUGGACGUUUGGGCUCCAGCUGAAGCUUCCCCACCCCAAGGACUGAGGUGUCCUAUUAGGAGGAUAAGGAGAGGGAUGGCCUUCCUCUAAAUAACAGUGUCUUGGUCAUGAUGCCCUGGAGAAUAAUCACCAAAGCUGAAGAAGCCUGCAGGCCUGCUUCUGAAACCUCUCCUGGACUACCCGAACAACCCUGGCAACUGUUCAGGGCCAGAGAUUCUUUAAAAGUAAUAGCUUGAAUAUCAUUUCUUCCAUAUUUUAUGGGCCUACAGAAUUUAUGUGGUAAACAAGGUGCAAUGGAUUCUGCUUAAGGAUACUGAGGUAUUCGUUUCAAUGAGGAUAUGAUAUAAAAACUGCACAGAUUGUAGAAAACACAGUGGCAUACAUACAUGCUGACACCGAAGACUUUCCUAAAUGCAAAUACAGUAA